CAAAACGUAGCUUAACUAAAGCAUCUUGCUUACACCAAUAACAUAUCUGUUAAACUCAGAUCGUUUUGA
rnacentral:tRNA from 3 species